rnacentral:rRNA from 1 species
GAUGAACGCUGGCGGCGUGCCUAAUACAUGCAAGUCGAGCGAACAGAUAAGGAGCUUGCUCCUUUGACGUUAGCGGCGGACGGGUGAGUAACACGUGGGUAACCUACCUAUAAGACUGGGAUAACUUCGGGAAACCGGAGCUAAUACCGGAUAACAUUUGGAACCGCAUGGUUCUAAAGUGAAAGAUGGUUUUGCUAUAACUAAUAGUUGGACCCGCGCCGUAUUAGCUAGUUGGUAAGGUAACGGCUUACCAAGGCAACGAUACGUAGCCGACCUGAGAGGGUGAUCGGCCACACUGGAACUGAGACACGGUCCAGACUCCUACGGGAGGCAGCAGUAGGGAAUCUUCCGCAAUGGGCGAAAGCCUGACGGAGCAACGCCGCGUGAGUGAUGAAGGGUUUCGGCUCGUAAAACUCUGUUAUUAGGGAAGAACAAACGUGUAAGUAACUGUGCACGUCUUGACGGUACCUAAUCAGAAAGCCACGGCUAACUACGUG